CGGACGGGUGAGUAACACGUGGAUAACCUACCUAUAAGACUGGGAUAACUUCGGGAAACCGGAGCUAAUACCGGAUAAUAUAUUGAACCGCAUGGUUCAAUGGUGAAAGACGGUUUUGCUGUCACUUAUAGAUGGAUCCGCGCCGCAUUAGCUAGUUGGUAAGGUAACGGCUUACCAAGGCAACGAUGCGUAGCAGACCUGAGAGGGUGAUCGGCCACACUGGAACUGAGACACGGUCCAGACUCCUACGGGAGGCAGCAGAA
rnacentral:rRNA from 1 species